CAGCCGCCGCGGUAAUACGAAGGGUGCAAGCGUUACUCGGAAUUACUGGGCGUAAAGCGUGCGUAGGUGGUGGUUUAAGUCCGUUGUGAAAGCCCUGGGCUCAACCUGGGAAUUGCAGUGAAUACUGGAUCACUAGAGUGUGGUAGAGGAUAGUGGAAUUUCCGGUGUAGCAGUGAAAUGCGUAGAGAUCGGAAGGAACAUCUGUGGCGAAGGCGACUAUCUGGGCCAACACUGACACUGAGGCACGAAAGCGUGGGGAGCAAACAGGAUUAGAUACCCCCGUAGUCCCUGUCUCUUAUAC
rnacentral:rRNA from 1 species